UUCUAUGACAUUGGCCAUCAUCAUUGAAGGGAUACAUGUUUGCUGCAAGUUUGAUGAAUCUGUCUGAAGUCCUUGGAAAGUUAUUGAGAGUACAGUCUUCAUCACACAGUUACU